UCCUUCUCUUUCAUCUUUCUUUCUAGAGAGAGAGAGACUCUGACCUCUCUCUAGAAAUCUGGUCUUCUUCUCCGGCGACGAUUUCGGUACAGGUACGGUGGUCGACCACCACAGGGGGCGGCGGCGCUGUGCCGGAAACCCUUUUAAAUUGACUUUUUAAAACCCUUUUCCUUUCCUCUUUCUUUUUCUCACCUUAAAACUCAACAACAACAAAAAAAGAACCAAGAGCCCUAGAUCUAGGAAAAUAAAAAGAACUAUCUCUUUAUGUUUUUGGAUCGGCUAUGACUGUGUUUGGGUACUGUUGAUGUUUGUUUCGUCGGUGUGUUGUUGGUUCGGUGUUCUGGAUUCGGUUUGUGUGAUUAUUUUGGCAAGGUUUGUGUUUUCUGUAUCAAUACGGCUUUGAGGACCCUGAACAUGUUUUUAGACUUACUCUAAGUAAAUAAAUAAAAAAAGAAUAAAAAGAACCUAAGUAAAAAAUAAAGAUAAAAAUAAAAUAAGUAAAUAAAUAAAAUGUAAAAAUAAUAAAAUUAAAAAGAGUAAAAUAAAAUAA
rnacentral:lncRNA from 1 species